CAGUCGCCACGGUAAUACGGAGGGUGCAAGCGUUAAUCGGAAUUACUGGGCGUAAAGCGCACGCAGGCGGUCUGUCAAGUCAGAUGUGAAAUCCCCGGGCUUAACCUGGGAACUGCAUUUGAAACUGGCAGGCUAGAGUCUUGUAGAGGGGGGUAGAAUUCCAGGUGUAGCGGUGAAAUGCGUAGAGAUCUGGAGGAAUACCGGUGGCGAAGGCGGCCCCCUGGACAAAGACUGACGCUCAGGUGCGAAAGCGUGGGGAGCAAACAGGAUUAGAUACCCGCGUAGUCCCUGUCUCUUAUAU
rnacentral:rRNA from 1 species